rnacentral:rRNA from 1 species
AUGGCUCAAGGGGUGGCUGCAGGCGGAGGAUCAAGCACGGCUGCGGGCGCCGGAGCAAGCACCGCGGCGGAUAGCAACCCAGGCACGGCGGACAGCGGCCAAGGCGGGGCUGGGGAUGGCUCAUCGGUGAGGUCCGCUGCUGGCGGCCAUGGCGCGGCUAUGCAGCACUUGCCGAUGAGCUCAGCUGCGGGCGCAGGCCAUGGUGAUGUUGCGGGCGGUGCAGGCCAUGGCGAUGCUGCAAGGUUGGGCGUGGAUGCAGGCUUGGGCCACGGUGCGGCUGCAGACUUAGAAGGGAUGGAUCCAAAUUCUUGUUAUGUACUGAAAAUUAGAUUGCUUGGCAACCCAAAAAAAGCUAGAAAAGAGCCCAUGUGCUUUUAUUUCGAGAAGGUUAUUGAUUCCGACUUGACAAAUUAUGAAGAUUUGGUUGAAUCAAUUAUAGUGCAGUACCAACCACGUUAUUUGGAAGUUGCGCAUGUUCACUACUAUGAUGAAGUUCUGAAAAUGUUUCCAGAAAUAAAAUCAGACCAAGAGUUGAUGUAUAUGUUUGAGAAACAUGCUAAGUCAAAGAUGGUGCAGAUGUUCAUUGUAUAUUGGGAACCCUCUGAACCAUAUGAGCCUAUCAUUGAGUAUUAUAGUGAUGUGCAUAUCCAACCUAAGAACAACAUAGACCAAGAUGAUGAUAGUUAUCUUCGCAACCCAAUACCGGAGAAUGAACAUGUUGGGAUUGAUGAAGAGAAUAUGCAUUUGAAGGAAGAACCUAUAGCUCUAAAUAUGGUUCUUUUCCUGAUAAAGAAAAGGACCAAGACUAUGUUGCUGAUGGUGAGAGUGAGGAUGAGAGUGAGGAUGGGAGUGAGGAUGAGAGUAAGGAUGAGAGCGAGGACGAGACUGAAGUAG